CGCGCAUGGAGAAGGAGCUGCUUGCUUCCAGCACCUGUGUUCACAAGCUUAAGCUGUACGGCAUGAACGUUUCCUUGGGAAAUGGGAAAACGAGUUUUCCAGUCCUCCUCCUGCUACUUGAGUCUGAAGCUGUCAAGGGUCACCUCGCGUCACCUUACACGACCGCAGUGCCGUGUACACGACCGCAGUGCCGUGCACCGCCGGAACGAGCGCCGCGCUCGCUUCCCGGGGCCGGAUGGCAAACGUGAGUCCCUCGGGAGGAAUUUGACUGAGCACCGGAGACACCGACUUCGGAGGCGCCCACCACUUGCAGUGGAGGAGGUGAGUGUCGCCGGCCUCCCUCGGAGCACAGCCACCGGGGGGGAAAAAGCAUAAGGUAACGCUUUUACCCCGCUUGUCCGUGUUACCAGAGUAUUUUAAUUGAAGUAUGACAAGCAAAGCCAAUUCAAAACAUUCGUCUGUGUGAGGGGUACAUCUGGCUGGCACGCUACAGGAUCGUGCGGGGAUACCCUAGCUAGCUCUCUCUGAGCUAGUUUGAGUCCUGCAAGUAAUGCAACCAGUCUCGCGUGGCACUCUGCCCAGACUAAUCUAUCUGUCUUUCCAAAGCCAGGAAGCCUGACGGGUCUGCUUUAUUCAGUGCCUCAGUUGUCGCUAACGAGCGCUGUGUAACCGGAGCCGCAGAACAGCACAACAAUCGAUUUAAAACGGCUCUUGCAAGAGCUCCUUGCAGUUGCGUUGUCGGCCCUGUUCGCAACGAUGCAAGACGAGAGUCCGCCUAGGUAGACCGACCGUCUGGCGUUAGCGCGCACGGCAACCGCACGAGCGCGACGCGAGGUAGGAAACGCAUCUCCGUGACGGAAAACGCGCGUCCUCGCGUCAGCUCCCGAGUGCCUUCAGAAACGCCAGGGUUGGUCCACCUGCGCACCCGCUAAAGGUUACAGGUAAGACAUCACGGCCUGGGGACAGUGCUCGACCUGUGCUUGAAAAAUCCCACCUGCGGUCCGGAAUGACCCUGUCUCAGCUAUAACCGCCUUUCAAAUUCUUCAGCGCGCCGUUAAGUCAGGCCUUCGGUGAGAGGGCAGCAGAGAUGCUAAGUUUUGUUGUCUGGCCCUGGCUCUUUGCUUUGACGUUAUGAUCUGCUUUUUCCCUUCUUCUGUCUGUUUAACCUGUUUGAUUUUUUUUUCAAAGCUUUCGGCCAUCUCCUCAAGUUAUUUUUCUUUCUAGGCAUUACUACGUUUUUAUUUUGAAGUGUUACGGACACGCGUGAUGCAGGCAAACUGAUAUCUAAUGCUACACUAAAGCAGAUAGACAGACAGACAGAUAGAUACAGAGGAAUCCCAGCUUCCCAGUAUCAUCAUAUUUAUUAGACGUAUCC
rnacentral:lncRNA from 1 species